CACAAGCGGUGGAUGAUGUGGUUUAAUUCGAUGCAACGCGAAAACCUUACCUACCCUUGACAUGUCAAGAAUUUUGCAGAGAUGUGAAAGUGCUCGAAAGAGAACUUGAACACAGGUGCUGCAUGGCCGUCGUCAGCUCGUGUCGUGAGAUGCUGGGUUAAGUCCCGCAACGAGCGCAACCCUUGUCAUUAGUUGCUACCGCAAGGAGCACUCUAAUGAGACUGCCGGUGACAAACCGGAGGAAGGUGGGGAUGACGUCAGGUCCUCAUGGCCCUUAUGGGUAGGGCUACACACGUCAUACAAUGGCCGGUACAGAGGGCUGCCAACCCGCGAGGGGGAGCCAAUCCCAGAAAACCGGUCGUAGUCCGGAUCGUAGUCUGCAACUCGACUGCGUGAAGUCGGAAUCGCUAGUAAUCGCGGAUCAGCUUGCCGCGGUGAAUACGUUCCCGGGUCUU
rnacentral:rRNA from 1 species